rnacentral:lncRNA from 1 species
UCCUAACAGCUCUAUGAAGGAAAUACGAUCUACACUGAGCUAGUCGAAGCUUGGGGAAGAAUUUUGUCUAAAGCUCAACAGCUGAAAGGGGUUGAUGAGCCAGCUUUAUUCUAAAUGACUGAAGACUUCUGUUCUUUUCAACAAACACAGUCCUCCAAUUAGGAGCCGCAAAUAAGAUUAUAUGCCCUGAAUAAGUCUGAAAAGGUCCUUUUAUAAUUAGAAAGUUUGUGUGUGGGAAGUGGAAGCAGCAUUAAGUGCUCACUGUGGCUUUAUUAAGAGAGUGACAUGAAGAUUUCCCAAAUCCUCCUCGGAGUGCUCUAAAAUGAUAAAAAUAAAAAUUAUAGAAAAC